rnacentral:lncRNA from 1 species
GCAACUCUUCUUAAAGUUCAAGAUUUUGUAUUUCGUUACCUAUACCACAUGCAUGCAUAUUACAUGUUUUUGUGUACAUAUAUGUAUGACUACUAUAGAAGAGGGAGGGGCGUGAAUAUAUUCUUAUUUAUAAAAAGGGAAAAUAUUAUAAAACUAUAUAUUGUAGCCAAGUGGGGAAGGGUGCUCCUUACUAAACGAAGCUUCUGCACUGAACCUUGACACAACGGUAUGUUUCUUAGCAAGUCCAGGAAAUCAAAUUAGCUCCUGGAAAAUAUUAUGCCUAAAAGUAGAUAGGAGCGAGUAGAUUGUUAUGGUAUCCGGACAACCAGGAGAACUGCAUUAGAAUAACUUAAAAGUAGAUAUAUGGGUUAAUUCACUUUCACAGCUUGAAAGUGAUCAUCACAUAAAACACAUCGACAAGCCUGGUUGAUAUCAAAAGCACAAAUCGGAUAUCUGAGAAAUGAGAUACUGCAAGGCGUCAACAAUGCUUCAAAAUAAAGAGUUAUAUCUUUGAAUAAUACCCAGUUGUCCAUGAGCCAAAACUGGCUUAAAGACUGACCUGCAUUGUUUUGCACCACUAAGCCUAAUCAAGUAAAUCGAAGGCAUACUUGCACUAAUCAAAGCAGCAAGAUGAAUGACGGGAAAUUUCUUGUUUCAAAGUUAGCAGAAAAUGCUACAAUAAAUCAUUAGAUGAAGCAGUGAAGAAGGAGUCAUUAAUAAUAAAUAGAAUCAGGCAUAUCUGUUCAUUUUUGUCCGAAUAUGAGUAUAGAGUUGUAACUGUUGCUUGAGGUGAACCAUCAAGGUGAAGAGAAACAGAGAAUUGUCGAAACUAGGGCCCAGGUGCUAAUUUCAUACCACAAAUACCUUUAUCUAGUUUACAACCUCUUUAAGAGAUACAUGUAGAGCCUGAUCAAUAAGCCAAGCAAACAUAAAUAAACUGACAAGAAAUGCAGAAUAGAAACUGUGAAUUAGGAAUGGAACAAUAUCCACAACGCCAAGAACCAAACAAAAGAACUGAUAAUGAAAUCCUUGGUAGGAUAUACCUGAAAAGCAGAAACAACGCUGAAUAUGUAAGUAAAACAAUCGAUAGUUUCUAAUUUGAGAUCUUUCAGAAUUAAAGAUCCUAAAUUAUGCAAGUGAAAGUUUAAACUCUAGUUUAAAACAAGCAAAAAGCAUUUUUACAGGAUUCAACCAUUUAUACUUGAGAAGAGUGUAUGUUGCAUAGAAAUUCAUGAAAAUACAAUUAUCAACUUAUUCCAUCAAUUGCCUAAAUAUUCUAAUACAUAUGCUAUUUAAAAAGUUUCAAUUACAACCUUCUAAAAUAUCAUAUUUGCCACAAAAACAAAAACAAGAUAAGAGAUGCUGAGUGAUUUUCUAGGCAAAAGGCAAGAUAGCAGGACACAAGUGAUCUGGCAUUAUGCUGUUAUGUAUAAAAUGUCACUGACCUGAUUUUGAACACAUUGACAGAACUUGAGCUUCCCUACACAGCAUGGCCGCAGCUAAACUCACGAUGUUUGUGGGAAAAUGUCACUGGAGCAGUGCAAGUUGGUUUCCUCGGAAUUGUAGUACUCCAACUAAUACAAAAAUAUAUUUGCCUACUUUGGAAAGACAAAACAAAACUCACAGAUCAGAUCUCAGAGAAUGAUCACUCUCCCAUCACAUUGAGCAUCCCCUACAAAGCCAGUAUAGUUUCUUCCAUAUUGCUACUGUGCGUUCAUUCUUCUGUGUUACUGAUGUUGUUAAAUGGUAGUGAAACACACUGUACUUCCACAAUUCAAGCUUUUUCAUCAGAGAUUAUGCAUGUGGUGUCAUGGGCAAUUACAUUGAUCAUCAUAUCCAGGAUCCCUCAUACCAAGCGUGCCAAGUUCCCGUGGGUGAUAAGGGCAUGGUGGCUUUGUGGCUUCCUACUGUCUACUACCUGCAUAGCAAUUGACAUCCAUUUCAAAAUUUCAAACCAUAGACAAUUCGCUGUACGAGAUUAUGCAGACUUUGUUGGUCUUCUUGCAUCAACAUAUUUAUUGGCUUUGUCAAUCUGGGGAAAGACAGGAUUACAUGUUGUUAUCCCCAAAGAAAUCAAUGAGCCGCUGCUCAAUGGAAAAAAUGAUAAAGAUAUGAGAGACAAAAGGAAAUCCCUAUAUGGAAAAGCUACAUUUCUCCAGCUCGUAACGUUUUCCUGGCUCAAUCCACUGUUCGCUGUUGGGAUCAAGAAACCACUUGAANNNNN